rnacentral:rRNA from 1 species
GACGAACGCUGGCGGCGUGGAUUAGGCAUGCAAGUCGAACGGUAUCAUCCUUUCGGGGGUGAGAGAGUGGCGAACUGGUGAGUAACACGUAGGUUAUCUACCCUCAAGACGGGGACAACCCAGGGAAACUUGGGCUAAUACCGGAUGUGAGCAACUUUUAGUUGUUUGAAAGGUGGCGUAAGCUGUCGCUUGGGGAUGAGCCUGCGUCCUAUUAGUUAGUUGGUGAGGUAACGGCUCACCUAGGCAAUGAUAGGUAGGCGGCCUUAACGGGUGGUCGCCCACACUGGGAUUGAGAUACGGCCCAGACUCCUACGGGAGGCAGCAGUUGAGAAUAGUCUACAAUGGUCGGAAGACUGAUAGUGCGACGCCGCGUGAACGAUGAAUCCCUUCGGGGUGUAAAGUUCUUUUAUAUGUGAGCAGUGCUUCUUAUAUUAACAGUAUGGGGAGAGAGAUAUUAGCAUAUGAAUAAGCAACGGCUAACUCCGUGCCAGCAGCGGCGGU